GGUUGCGAUCAUACCAGCACUAAUGCACCGGAUCCCAUCAGAACUCCGCAGUUAAGCGUGCUUGGGGGAGAGUAGUACUAGGAUGGGUGACCCCCUGGGAAGUCCUCGUGUUGCAACCC
rnacentral:rRNA from 1 species